rnacentral:tRNA from 1 species
GCGGGCAUAACUCAGUCUGGUAGAGUAUCAGCUUCCCAAGCUGAAAGUCGCGGGUUCGAAUCCCGUUGCCCGCUCCA